GAUGAACGCUGGCGGCGUGCCUAAUACAUGCAAGUCGAGCGAACAGACGAGGAGCUUGCUCCUCUGACGUUAGCGGCGGACGGGUGAGUAACACGUGGAUAGCCUACCUAUAAGACUGGGAUAACUUCGGGAAACCGGAGCUAAUACCGGAUCAUAUAUUGAACCGCAUGGUUCAAUAGUGAAAGACGCUUUUGCUGUCACUUUUAGAUGGAUCCGCGCCGCAUUAGCUAGUUGGUAAGGUAACGGCUUACCAAGGCAACGAUGCGUAGCCGACCUGAGAGGGGGAUCGGCCACACGGGAACUGAGACACGGUCCAGACUCCAAGGGGAGGCAGCAGUAGGGAAUCUGCCGCAAUGGGCGAAAGCCUGACGGAGCAACGCCGCGUGAGUGAUGAAGGUCUUCGGAUCGUAAAACUCUGUUAUUAGGGAAGAACAAAUGUGUAAGUAACUAUGCACGUCUUGACGGUACCUAAGCAGAAAGCCACGCCUAACUACGU
rnacentral:rRNA from 1 species